GGACGCCGUCUGUACCAGAAGUCCCGUUCCCUCUCUCUGUCCUCUGAGCGAGGUGUGCAGGUCAGCGAGGUCCUGGCCAACCCACACCCCAAGUUCCCUGGAAGAACAGGGCCACUAGCUUUUCUCUGCAAACUGUCAGCUGUGCCUGCCCUUCUCUCCACUCCAGCACUGCUGGGUCACACAGCUGCCAGGAGCUGUCACCAAGCCCUCUGGCCAGCUGGGGCUAGAAGACACUCUGCACCCUAGCUACGUGGUUGGGACGGGGACGGGAAUGGGGAAUUCCAGAAACCCAAAAGCUGUUCUGACCGGUCAGCCAGUGUCAGUAUUAUUAGCAGCCCGUAACGGGUGCUGUGAACCCCGCGCCGGAGAGAGCCUCGGACGGCUGAAGACUUAGGUAUAAACAGCUCAAAACACCAAUAAUCACUUCAUUCCCUACAAUUAACACCCACACCUUUUCACCAGGAGGAAGAAAAAUGGUUUGUGGAUCUGCUUGAACCCUCAUGAUCCCUUACUGGGUAUUCAGUGAAAGUCCCCGUCUGGCACCCAGCUGAGAACGAAGGUUCUAGAAACUCGGGGUUUGAGGGCGGUGGAUUUUACCAGCCACGAGAUGUCACUGCUUUGCCGACCCUGAGCUCACCCACCGCUCAGGAGUGUGAGUCCUAGAGGACCUCAUUUCCCGUCGGUGAACCCCUGCGGAGAAGCUCUCCACUCCGGGAAGUCUCAUCAGCGAUUUGCUCUUUUGAAGAAAUUACUUAUAUAAGCAAAUUAACAUCAAUUUUCUUGACAUUUAGACCUGAUAUGUUUGUUAGUAAAAGCACAGAAUA